rnacentral:rRNA from 1 species
AGUGAACGCUGGCGGUAGGCCUAACACAUGCAAGUCGAACGGCAGCACAGUAAGAGCUUGCUCUUACGGGUGGCGAGUGGCGGACGGGUGAGGAAUACAUCGGAAUCUACUUUUUCGUGGGGGAUAACGUAGGUAAACUUACGCUAAUACCGCAUACGCCCUACGGGUGAAAGCAGGGGAUCUUCGGACCUUGCGCGAUUGAAUGAGCCGAUGUCGGAUUUGUUAGUUGGCGGGGUAAAGGCCCACCAAGGCGACGAUCCGUAGCUGGUCAGAGAGGAUGAUCAGCCACACUAGAGCGGAGACACGGUCCAGACUCCUACGAGAGGCAGCAGUGGGGAAUAUUGGACAAUGGGCGCAAGCAUGAUCCAGCCAUACCGCGUGGGUGAAGAAGGCCUUCGGGUUGUAAAGCCCUUUUGUUGGGAAAGAAAAGCAGCAGGUUAAUACCCCGCUGUUCUGACGGUACCCAAAGAAUAAGCACCGGCUAACUUCGUG